rnacentral:rRNA from 1 species
UACGGGGGGGGCAAGCGUUGUUCGGAAUUACUGGGCGUAAAGGGCUCGUAGGCGGCCAACUAAGUCGGAUGUGAAAUCCCCAAGCUUAACUUGGGAACUGCAUCCGAUACUGGAUGGCUUGAAUCCGGGAGAGGGAUGCAGAAUUCCAGGUGUAGCGGUGAAAUGCGCAGAUAUCAGGAGGAACACCUAUUGCGAAGGCAGCUCGCUGGGACGUUACUGACGCUGAGACGCGAAAGCGUGGGGAGCAAACAGG